UGGGAUGUGGCUUAAUGGUAGAACAUUUGCCUAGCACAUGCAAGAGUUUGGGUUCGAUCCCCAGCACUGCAA
rnacentral:tRNA from 1 species